GAUGAAGAACGCAGCGAAAUGCGAUAAGUAGUGUGAAUUGCAGAAUUCAGUGAAUCAUCGAAUCUUUGAACGCACAUUGCGCCCAUUAGUAUUCUAGUGGGCAUGCCUGUUCGAGCGUCAUUUCAACCCUUAAGCCUCUGUUGCUUAGCGUUGGGAGCCUACCUACCCGGUAGAUCCUCAAAGUUAGCUGGCAGGGUCGAGGUUCGCCCUAAGCGUAGUAGUUCUUUCUCGCUUCUGCGGCUGCCUAGGCCAUCGCCACAAGCCUUUUAAACUUCAAUGGUUGACCUCGGAUCAGGUAGGAAUACCCGCUGAACUUAAGCAUAUCAAUAAGCGGAGGA
rnacentral:misc_RNA from 1 species